UCUCCUACGGGAGGCAGCAGUGGGGAAUAUUGCACAAUGGGCGCAAGCCUGAUGCAGCCAUGCCGCGUGUAUGAAGAAGGCCUUCGGGUUGUAAAGUACUUUCAGUCGUGAGGAAGGUGGUGUUGUUAAUAGCAGCAUCAUUUGACGUUAGCGACAGAAGAAGCACCGGCUAACUCCGUGCCAGCAGCCGCGGUAAUACGGAGGGUGCGAGCGUUAAUCGGAAUUACUGGGCGUAAAGCGCAUGCAGGUGGUUCGUUAAGUCAGAUGUGAAAGCCCGGGGCUCAACCUCGGAACUGCAUUUGAAACUGGCGGACUAGAGUACUGUAGAGGGGGGUAGAAUUUCAGGUGUAGCGGUGAAAUGCGUAGAGAUCUGAAGGAAUACCAGUGGCGAAGGCGGCCCCCUGGACAGAUACUGACACUCAGAUGCGAAAGCGUGGGGAGCAAACAGGAUUAGAUACCCUGGUAGUCCACGCCGUAAACGAUGUCUACUUGGAGGUUGUGGCCUUGAGCCGUGGCUUUCGGAGCUAACGCGUAAAGUAGACC
rnacentral:rRNA from 1 species